GUUCUCAGGGCCUUCUCCUUUCCCUCUUUUCCCUCUACUCCGUGCCACGGCCCGUUGGCCAUGGCCGCCGCAGCCUCCUCCCGUCCUCCCGCUCGCAGCGCGCACGCCACCGCCUCCUUCUCUCCUCCCGCUCACAGUGCGCACGCCACGGCCGCCACAGCGUGCUCCCCUUCUCCCGCUCGUCCAGCGGCACGAUGCCCCGGAUCUCCACUCACCGGCGUGCUACCUGGUCUGCAACCCGGCCACCGCGCAGUGGGCGUCCGUGCCGGCCUCCGGCUGGGUCCCCACCGCCUCCUAGCAGAUGAUGUGGCUGGAUCCCCAUUGCCUCCCAGCAGGUGACGCGCACCUUCCUGCUCUUCGACGCCGCCGCUUCCCAGCACGCGUUCCACCUGCUCCAGUUCUGGCUGGACGAAGAGAUCGAGGCCGAAGAGGACACGGACGAGGAGGUCGAGAACGCGGAGCGGGAGGACACCGAGCACGAGUCCGAGUCCAGCCAGCGAUCCCGCUCCAAACUUUCUUUUUCAUCCACGUGUUUGAUCCGAACUGCUUUCCCCCUACAGAUUACAUAUUGCAAAUUUGACCAUAAAGAGUUGUGAUGGAAUUUUGCCGGCCGCCGGAACGUCGAGGUCUGGGAGGCGGCCCUGAGGACGCUCGGCGUGGGAUCGGCGUGGGAGCCUUCCUCUGCGCUCAGGCGGCGCCGGCGCUCCUUCCUCUCCUCACGCGCGGCAGCCUUACCAGCCUCAUGCUGCUCAUCCCAUGGCCCCUCAGCGGCUCAGCCCUUAUCCUCUGCUGCGGCACGCGUUUGGGCACAACGCGUUUCCUGUUGACUGUUUAAUUAUCUGGUUGCUCUUAGUGUUUUGUUGCAGGCUGUGGGGGUUUCCAGUCUUCCAGGGGAAGGUAUGGGUAAUUGUUUGAAGUAAACUGUACCAUGCUAAUUUUGAGACAGCCACUUUAUGCUGAAGAAGAUUGGAAGCAUUGCUUAUAGUCGAUUCUUGAACAUUGUAGCAUAUAUCGUACUAUGAACAAUGCAGUGAGCAAUAAGCUCCCUAUAGAAUAAUCGUUAUGCUGAACAUUGCAACAGACUUUCUGGUUGGUGCUAUGCGAGUGUUUGAUUGAUGUGGCAUAAUGAUGAGUCAUGCUGGUUCCAGGUACAGGUCCGCAUUUGAUGCUAAGAAAAUUCCACAAGGAGGAUACACACUUCCAACUUUUCUUUCUUUGAACUGUAAAUCAUCGACAUAACAAAAGGUGCUUCAUCACCCAAGGUAGCAAGAACAAGGUGUUAUGUUUCGAGAAAUGCAUAAUGCACAUCAAUUUCAUUCAGGAGUCUAUUUGGGUGACUCGGUGCUGAAUUGCAAGGUUGAUGAUUCUGCCUGGCUUGCUGUUGAUGCUAAUAAUCAUCUGCUAUCAGCCUCUGCUAGAAGGCCUUGGUUCAAGAAUUCAGGUUAUGCUUCUACAAAGAUUUGAAGAGAAGGGGAGAAAAGGGGAUGCUUGAAUCUGGAGUUAUGCGCAACAUCCUUAAUAGUUGAAGCAAAAGAAGUUAAACUGUCAGGAUCUGGCUUCAAUAAAGUAGGCGACCUGAUGGAAAAGCAUAUUUCAGGGGGAAUAUCGUGCGAAAAUGGAGAUUACCUGAUCGAGUAGCCCUAGAACCUAACAUGCGAAGAGGAUCUUUUGUGGCUCUGCACGACUGUAGCUGCAAUGAAAGUCAAAAUGCAAAGUACAAUGGCGCUUUCACCAAUCGACAACUCACUUAACGCGUUUGUUUUCU